AAAGCCCUGGGCAAACUGGGAAACAUUGUUGCGCCGGAAACAUUGUUUCCCUGCCAAUGUUUCGCCAUGUUUGCCAGAGUGGGCAAACACUAGGAAACAUUAGUGAGAAACAUAGGGAAACAUCAAAUGUUUCUGAAUAUGGUAGGAAACAUUUGAAUAUGGUUUUAGCUAUAAUUAUUUCUCAGUACAAUAUUAUAUUGUAAAUAGACCAGUACUAUAUUUUAGUUGAAAAUUUUGUAAGCUGCAGAAUUCAGCUUAUUGGCUGACAUUAGCUGCGAUAAAUCACUUUUUAACAGUGUCAAAUAUUGAUAUCAGAAUACUUGAUCAUUUGAGUAAUUCAGUGGGAGACAUAUUCACGCGCAAGAUACGCACUGUCUGAUGACGGUCCAGUGCCUCGUAGAACCGAUGAUGAUGAACUGAUGCAAUUGUGCGCAAGGAUUUUCUUCGUCUUCCCUGUUGAUGUAUGUUCAGUUGCUCCUAGAAGAGAGUUUGUCACAUCAACACCAGACUGUGUUGGAUCGUCACCUGACGCUGCCGCGGUCUUCGCUCGAAACGUCGAAAUUUGUUCCUAUUCUGCCUUCAUUCUGCAAGUUGUAUUUUGAAACCAAAAGCCCAUAUAAACAAGAUUUAGUAAUUUCCUGCCG